rnacentral:lncRNA from 1 species
UUAUAGUCCAAAUUUUUGAUGUCAUUUUUUCUAAACGACCAUGUUAUUAAGUUUUGGUCAAUUUAUGUUGUUUUUUUAAUUUUUGUGAUGGUUGGGGUUUGAACUUUGGACUUUGCAUAUAUUAUGCAUUGUCCCUACCAAUCUUAUUGGUUAGACAAAUGUUUGAAGGAAUUUUUACUUCACAAAACAAAAUCUGUUCUUGUAUUUCACCAUGAAUGAUAUUCCACCAUCACCAAAGAAACAAUCCUUCAAAGAGAAACACAAAGGGAGAUUAAGAGUGUUAGAGAAAAUGUUGGACAAAGAAUUACUUUGAUUAAAGAGAGGGCAAUGUC